rnacentral:rRNA from 1 species
AAGUACUCCUUACCGACCGAUAGCGAACAAGUACCGUGAGGGGAAAGGUGAAAAGACCCCCGACGAGGGGAGUGAAACAGAACCUGAAACCGAACGCUUACAAGCAGUGGGAGCGAAAGUGACCACAUACCUUUUGUAUAAUGGGUCAGCGACUUAGUUUAACGAGCAAGCUUAAGCCGAUAGGCGUAGGCGCAGCGAAAGCGAGUCUGAAUAGGGCGCCCAAGUUCGUUGAAUUAGACCCCGAAGGCAAGUGAUCUAGGCAUGUCCAGGCUGAAGGUGCGGUAACACGCACUGGAGGGCCGAACCCAUGAAUGUUGAAAAAUUCUGGGAUGAGGUGUGCCUAGGGGUGAAAGGCUAAUCAAACUUGCUGAUAGCUGGUCUCCGCGAAAACUAUUUAGGUAGUGCGUCGACUGAAUACCUCAGGGGGGUAGAGGCACUGGAUGGGC